AAAAAGCAAUCGACUUACAAGGGUGUGAAAAAAGGGGCUCGAUAUUAAAUCGAGAAAAUAUGAUUUUUUAUAAGUUAAAAAAAUGGGUUCAAAUGCAUGAUGCAAUUAAAAGAAAAAAAAACAAAUCUAUAUUAUUAAACAAUAAUAAAAAAAGGAAAUAUAAAUAAUAAAGCAUAAAUAUGAAAGAAAAUAUUAAAAGAAAGAAAAACUACGCCUAGGAGUAUCGAACCCACUAAAACUAAAGAUCUAGAAGCCACUUCCCUCCACCAGACCACUUACUAACUAACUAAUAUUUAAUGCUAACUUAAAUGUAUUAAACUAAGAUAAUUAAAAAAGAAAUAAAAAUAAAACUAAAUAAUAAAAAAACUGUUGGUCUGCUAGUAACUGAACCCAGCCGCUUGGCUGUUGGGUUGUCAAUGGGGAAUGUGUAUUGGAAAGGAGGAAAUAAAUUGAAAAUAUAAACAACAUUUAACUAAAUACCUAGGAAAAUUAAAAUGAAUUUUAAUAGUUUUUUUAAAAAAAGACUUAUUCUGAAAUACAAUAAAUAAAAGAAAAAAUAAAUAAACACCUCACUCGAAUUAAAAAAAAUGAAAAACAAGAGGAGACAGACUUCAUCGUCCUCGUCUAGCUCUCUCGCUCCCUUCUCUCGCUCAAUCCUCAUCAUCUCUC
rnacentral:lncRNA from 1 species